CAAAGCAGUUGUUCAUAGAUGUUGAUGUUGACAAUUGAUGAGUUAACAAUGACAAUUUCGGAUACUUAAUUGCUCAAAUUUAUUUGCGAGAAUUUAUUUCUGGCUUCUUAAUUUUUUUCUCCUUUUGGAUUGAAAAUUAUGCGGCUUCUAAACUGUAGGAUGGGAAUCAUUGUGAUGAAGGUUCAUCUAAACUGCUUAAUGCAGAGCUGGAAAAAGCGAAAUGAUAUUCAACAACAUUUUCUUCUAAUCUAAUUCACAUGUUUGAUCACACAGCGUGGAAAAAAAAAUGGCUAUCUUGAGUUUCUUCCAAAAAAAAUGCAAAGCAUUUGCCCCAAAUUGAAGCCUUAUCGUGUGAGCUUGAUCUAUUCAAAGUUUUAACUGGAAGUGCCACUACAAAGAAAUCCAUACUAGAAUUUCAGCUUCUACAUGUUGCAAGAGAAUUGAUUUUCUAUGCAGAAACUGACAAGCUAUGCCUGCCCCUAGCCUGAUGGAUAUUUUUAGUGUAAACAAUAUGCCCGUUGAUCUUCAAAGAGUUAUAUGGAAGCACUUUAGACUCUGAUGAAGUUUUGGGUUUCAAUGCUUUGAGACCUUCAUAUAAUGGCUGCCGUUAUCUGAAAUUAAUAAACAGUUGUAGAUAUUCCUUUUGUAGUGUUGUGUUGAAAGUGUUUCUUUGAACAUUCUAUGCUACGGUUUGGAUGGUUCUAUCCACUUCUGCAAGUUAAGACCUCCGUCCAUCUCAUUUAUCUGUAAAUCGCUGCCAGUCUUAUCAUGUUCUUUUGAAGUAUUCCUCUAUAAUUACCUCAAAUUGAAGUUUCAUCUCCCUUGCCUACAGAAGCUGCUGAUUGCAAGGAUUUUCAUCUGUCCAAUAAUGAAUGCAGAAUGCUAUAGCUAUAGUGCUUCUCUUCUUAAUAUUUAAUGAAUGGCACCUCUUGGCCGUUGAUGAACUUCAAAUUGCUGCCACUUUAUAACAACUUCAGACUCUAGAAUUUCUUUAUUGAUGGCUUCUUCAAAUAAGGUACAAAUUUGAUUUUGAAGAUCAACGGCCACUUUGUCUUCUGCUAUGCGGCAUGCAGUGGUGGAAAAAUCAUUGGUUCUGUAAACGGAAUGAGAUUCAACACUUCAUAUUUCUUCAAAUCUAACUUAUUCCUUCCUUCCAGUUGUGUGGAAAACAAAAUGAUAAUCAGGAGUUUCUUUGAUUGAGGUCUAAUCUCCAGGCAUGUGAUAUGGAAGAAACAUGAUAUGGAAGAAACAUGCUCGGUCCAAUGCUCCUCUGUUCUUUCCAUUUUUUUUAUAUAUGAGUUUUACAUUUUUAUAUAUUAUUUUCAUCCGUUUCUUCACUUUAGAAAUCAUUUAUGUGAUUACAGAAUUGUUUGUAACUUUUUUUCAGUGCUUAAGGCUGUUGAAGAUUAAUGUGGCUAAUGGAGGAACUUCAGCUACUGUUUAUCCUUCUAUUGCUGUUCUGCAAAUAUUGUGAAUCAGUAGAUUGAAGCAUUUCCAUGGGAAAAGCAGUUGUGAAUAGUCCUCUGUUAUGCCAGAAAGUGUUUGUUUUGGUGUGUUCAUCACCUUCACAUGCCUUGUACGAACAUAAUCCAAAGUGAAAUCCAAUCUGGUGGACUGAUUUGCUUUUCCACUAGGCACAUAAACAGUAUAUAUGAACAUUACUCAAGAGUUGCACAAAAGCUAUUGGGAAGUUGCGAAAAGUGAAAAAGAAGCACAUACACAUCCAUCAUUGACCAAUUAUUACCAUCUCUUGUCAGGCAAGUACAUCCUAUUCUCUUCUUUAAAUUCUGUUUGACUGUUCAAGACUCCCAAUGACUUUUCCUGUACAUUCGUGCUGUUGUUGAGCGAUUGGUUCUCUCCCCAUCUUCAUCAUUUAUGCAGCAGAUAUUUUGAGUGAAUAAUCGAAUGAAUCAUCAACCCAUAAUUCAAAGUUACAUGAGUUGCAACUUGAAAGUGGUGGAAUUAUUAUCUGCUCUGGCACAGAGUUGUUCAGAUGGAGAUUUUUUUACAGGUAUGUAGUGCUUGCCACAUGUUUUUCGGAUCCUUCCCUCUUCCAUAACACUUGGAAAAACCUAAUAAAUAAUUACUUCAAAUGUGUGUCAUUAUCUCUAGCUUGAAGCAAAGAUUUAGUUCAAGCUGAUUUAAGAAUUAUAAUCAUAAAAGGAUGAUAUUAUGGGUCGCUCAUUUGUUUACACAACUAUAUUAAUGGAAUAUCUAGAGCUUACAUGCAAUUUAGUAUCACACAAGAAAUGGAGAUUUUGAUUGCAAAUUUGUAUCAGGCCAGAAGUCUCUGAGUUUGAGCUUUGGAUUCUCCAAAAAGAUGGAAUGAAUCGGUGAACCAAUUCUGUCUAUUUUGCUUUAUUUAAUUGACUCUUUAUCUAUGUUGCUUUGUUUGAGGGGGUUUUUCAUCAUUAAGUGGUUUAGUUAGUAUCAGUUGGGUGUACGGGGUUGGACUUGCUGGUCCUGGGUUUAAACCACUGUUGGUUUUCCUCCUCAUCUUUUCUUCUUAUUAGGCUAAUACAUGUUGUUCUCUACAUUUUGUAAUGAAUUACUUACACAAAUUUAAUCAUCAAAAUCAUGUAAGGAUGAUGCUCAAUUGCUUACACAACCAUUCUAAUUGAAAUGGAGGUUUAGAUUGAAAAUUUAUGUGAAUUACAAUGUAAUUAA